rnacentral:lncRNA from 1 species
UCACACAUCACAUGAGCAAUUACACCAGAUAAUCAUGGACCAAAGCCAAAUAUGAUCAGGCUCGAGCCAGUGAGCCUAAUCACUCACAUCAAGAUCUAUGUGUGCAGCGGUACAUCUCCAUGCCCUGUGAUUGUCCAUCUCGUCCUCGUUGGUUCCGUCGGCAUCUCGACGCAUCUCCAUGCAUCGCGAUCGUCCGUCUCGUGGG